UACGUAGGGUGCAAGCGUUAAUCGGAAUUACUGGGCGUAAAGCGUGCGCAGGCGGUUUUGUAAGUUUGUCGUGAAAUCCCCGGGCUCAACCUGGGAAUGGCGAUGAAGACUGCAAGGCUAGAAUCUGGCAGAGGGGGGUGGAAUUCCCGGUGUAGCAGUGAAAUGCGUAGAGAUCGGGAGGAACAUCAGUUGCGAAGGCGGCUCUCUGGACCAGCACUGACACUGAGGCACGAAAGCGUGGGGAGCAAACAGG
rnacentral:rRNA from 1 species